UUACUAAGUGCCAGGCACCACAUCAAGGAUUAAAUACCUUAUUUAAUCAUCGACGCAGCCUGAUGAGGAAUGUGCCAUUGCUGCCCCCUUUAACAACAAGGAAACAGACAUGAGCAGAGUUGAUGGAAGCUGUGUAAGGAGAGAACCAAAGGCUCUGUCUGAGCCCGGGUGUCUGAUGCCACAACCCAGCCACAAUCUCCAUGCUACCAUUUCCCCUGACAGACACCCAAGUAACACAGCCCCUCGGGAGAGCUGGGCCCCCAAGUUAGGGACAAGCUGGCAGUUCUCUGGAUGAAGCCAGGUGGCAUCUGGAGACUCUCCGUCUGAGCCCUCCUUAGCCUUCCUCUAGCCCUGGGCCACGGCUUCUCUGGAAUAUCCGGGGCCUCAGUGAGCACAUUUCCAGAAAACUGGUCUAAUCCAACCCCUUCAUUACAAUGGUGGUAAACAAAGGG
rnacentral:lncRNA from 1 species